AGCGAACGCUGGCGGCAGGCCUAACACAUGCAAGUCGAACGAAGUCUUCGGACUUAGUGGCGGAAGGGUGAGUAACACGUGGGAACGUGCCUUUAGGUUCGGAAUAACUCAGGGAAACUUGUGCUAAUACCGAAUGUGCCCUUCGGGGGAAAGAUUUAUCGCCUUUAGAGCGGCCCGCGUCUGAUUAGCUAGUUAGUGAGGUAAAGGCUCACCAAGGCGACGAUCAGUAGCUGGUCUGAGAGGAUGAUCAGCCACAUUGGGACGGAGACACGGCCCAAACUCCUACGGGAGGCAGCAGUGGGGAAUCUUGCGCAAUGGGCGAAAGCCUGACGCAGCCAUGCCGCGUGAAUGAUGAAGGUCUUAGGAUUGUAAAAUUCUUUCACCGGGGACGAUAAUGACGGUACCCGGAGAAGAAGCCCCGGCUAACUUCGUGCCAGCAGCCGCAGUAAAAC
rnacentral:rRNA from 1 species